GGGGAGAUGGCCGAGCGGUUGAAGGCGGCACCCUGCUAAGGUGUUAUAUCCGAAUAGGGUAUCGAGGGUUCGAAUCCCUCUCUCUCCGCCA
rnacentral:tRNA from 1 species